UGGGGCAAUACACUCCGAAAGGAAGAUCAGAAAACUCCCCUCCCCUCUCAUAUGCCCUACAGCAUUCACCACCCCUAAGAUAAUGCUGGUCCUCUCCCUACCCUUUAAAAUCUUACUGAGUAGGUGUUACAUUAUUUACUGGUGUAAGGGCAUGUCAGGGAGGUCGGGGGAGUCCCAGAGGAGGAGAGAAGCAGGUCUGAAUGGAGAAAAGACUCAGCUGGCUCGAUGGAGGGACAAAUUCACCCAAAACCUGCAGAAUACCGGCCUGCUGCUGGAAAAGGAGGAGACAGUGAGAGAGGAAAAAAUCCAUCCAUUAUCUGAAAGUUAGCGCCCCCUGGGAUGUGUUGGUUUAUUACGCAGAGGAGCUCAUUCUAAGAGUGCCCCUACAGGCUCAACCAAACCCAGACUUCUAUACGUCUGACUGGAUCCUUCGGAAGCUAUGCAUUCCCAACAUCAUGGCUGAGUCCAUGCCCAGCAGGCCACUGGACUACUACACUUGUGCCUUUCGCAAGUCAAAUGGAGAAUUUGUCCUUCUCAGGUUCCUUGGCUUUGAGGACCAUGACACCAACUUCACUAACACACAGAGACACCGUAUAGUGUAUAAGCUUCUGGCAAGUAUGGUGUAUGGCAAGAGGAAGAGCACGGAGGUGGGCAUGGCUCGACUGCUCAACGAGGGGGCAUACACUGCAGCGUUUCCCUUGCAUGAGGUCAGACACAUUCUUUUUUUCUUUUUUUUAACCCCUUUUCUCACUAAUUUCGUGGUAUCCAAUUGUUAGUAGUUACUAUCUUCUCUCAUUGCUACAAUUCCCGUACGGUCUCGGGAGAGACGAAGAUCGAAAGCCAUGCGUCCUCCAAAACACAACCCAACCAAGCCGCACUGCUUCUUAACACAGCGCGCAUCCAACCCGGAAGCGAGCCGCACCAAUAUGUCGGAGGAAACGUGCACCUGGCGACCUGGUUAGCGUGCACUGCUCCCAGCCCACAACAGGAGUCGCUAGUGCGUGAUGAGACAAGGAUAUCCCUACCGGCCAAACCCUCUCUAACCCGGACGAUGCUAGGCCAAUUGUGCGUCGACCCACGGACCUCCUUGUCGCGAACCCAGAUUCCCUGGUGGCCCAGCUAGCACUGCAAUGCAGUGCCCUAGACCACUACACCACCCGGGAGACCUAGGUCAGAUACAUUCUUAAUGUACCGCUACUCAUAAUGACAUCUGCCUAUUACAGCAGUGUGUGUGUGUGUGUGUAUAUGUGCGCACUUGCAUCCAUGUGCACGUGUGCGUGUUUGUGUGUGCGGCAAGUGAGUUUGUGUGUGCAUGUGUAGGUGCGUACGUGUGUGUGUUUCUCAGGGCCCAUUUGAGCUGCCAGAGUAUGAGGCGUGUCCAGAUGAGCUCAACCAGAGGCAGGUCUUGUUCCAGUAUUGGGCCCGCUGGUCUAAGUGGAACAAGUACCAGCCACUGGACCACAUCAGAGAAUACUUUGGAGAGAAGAUAGCCUUUUACUUUGCCUGGCUGGCAAGGAGAUCUGUAGCAGUGGGAACAGCUACCUGAUGUGUCCUCUCUGUAAGACCUGCAAGCCCUGGAACAUGUCCGAUAUCUGCCCCAUGGCUAAGGUGGGCUGUCCGAUUCCACGACGACUGGUCUACCGACGUGAUUCGCCCGAGGAGUGUCAACAGGCUCCUCCGUCGCGACGUUCCCUGAAGGCCCAUCCGCUAGCCUGCUGGCCGUGGCCCGCUAGCUGUCUAGAGCAUAUCGGACUGCUAGCUGAAGAGGACCAUCAGCCAAUUUCUUGGGCUACAAUGCCUAUUUUGCCAAUUGGCCUGGACCCUUUUACUGCCGACAUGGAGCCCUGCCAAUCCAACACGACUGGUCUGCCGACGUAACCGUCCGAGGGAGCUACAACAGACUUUCUUCUGUCGCGACGUCCCCCCUAAGGCCCUUCUGCUAUCCCCGGCCCGCUAGCUGUCUGAAUCGCCAUGUCUCCAGCUCGCCUAGCCUCCAACUGGUCCCUAUGAUCACUCGGCUACGCAUGCCUCUCCCUAAUGUCAAUAUGUCUUGUCCAUUGCUGUUUUGGUUAGUGAUUAUUGUCUUAUUUCACUGUAGAGACUCCAGCCCUGCUCAAUAUGCCUUAGCUAGCCAUUUUGUUUCACCUCCCACACAUGCGGUGACCUCACCUGUUCUAAAUGAUGUCACUAGAGACAAAAUCUCUCUCAUCAUCACACAAUGCCUAGGUUUACCUCCACUGUAUUCACAUCCUACCAUACCCUUGUCUGUACAUUAUGCCUUGAAUCUAUUCUUCCACGCCAAGAAACCUGUUCCCUUUACUCUCUGUUCUGAACGCACUAGACGACCAGUCCUUAUAGCUUUUAGCCGUACCCUUAUCCUACUCCUCCUCUGUUCCUCUGGUGAUGUAGAGGUUAAUCCAGGCCCUGCAGUGCCUUGCUCCACUCCCAUUCCCCAGGCGCUCUCAUUUGUUGAUUUCUGUAACCAUAAAAUUCUUUUUUUCAUGCAUGUUAACAUUAGAAGCCUCCUCCCUAAGUUUGUUUUACUCACUGCUUUAGCACACUCUGCCAACUCGGAUGUCCAAGCCGUGUCUGAAUCAUGGCUUAGGAAGGCCACCAAAAAUCCUGAAAUUUCCAUCCCUAACUAUAACACUUUCCGACAAGAUAGAACUGCCAAAGGGAAUUGCAAUCUACUGCAGAG